ACGUGUGAUUUUAAAGGGAAUAGACGUGGAAAUCCCACGUUUUCAUCACGGCAACAGAAUCAUCGCGACCCUCAGAGAUCAGUCUCUCCCGAGAAUUUGAAUUUCUCAGAUCUAUUCGACGUCGUUGCAGAUCUAUCAACGAUCAUGGCUGGUUUCAGCGGUGAUGAAACGGCACCGUUUUUCGGCUUCCUCGGAGCCGCAGCUGCCCUCGUGUUCUCCUGUAUGGGAGCUGCCUAUGGCACAGCAAAGAGUGGUGUGGGCGUGGCUUCCAUGGGUGUGAUGAGACCUGAGCUAGUGAUGAAGUCCAUUGUUCCUGUUGUUAUGGCUGGAGUUUUGGGUAUUUAUGGCCUUAUUAUUGCUGUUAUUAUUAGUACCGGUAUUAAUCCCAAGGCCAAAUCUUAUUACCUCUUUGAUGGUUACGCUCAUCUCUCCUCUGGUCUUGCCUGUGGCUUGGCUGGGCUAUCUGCUGGCAUGGCUAUUGGUAUUGUUGGUGAUGCUGGUGUUAGAGCCAAUGCACAGCAACCAAAACUUUUUGUUGGAAUGAUUCUCAUCCUCAUUUUUGCCGAAGCUCUCGCCCUUUAUGGUCUCAUUGUCGGUAUUAUCCUGUCUUCUCGUGCUGGCCAGUCUAGAGCCGACUAAGAAAGGAGUUGUGCUGCUAAAUAUUCUUUGACCACCCAUCUGUUUUAACCUCCUUUUAAAGGGGGUGAGGGAGAUUUGGGCCUUAGUAAUUGGGCUUAUUGUGGUCAGCAGAAGCAAUUUCCUUCGGCUGGUAGAUUUGAUUAUCCACUUAUUGGGCCAUUGCCAUAAUAGAAGCUGUUUGGAUGCUGCUAAAAAGAAUCGGCCUGGAAGUUGUAGCUGCUGCAACGAUUGUUGGAUUGGGCCGCUAGACUUGGAUUGCAUUUAAGUUGGACAACAUCAUUUUGGUGCGGCUUGGCAACAGAUGAAGGGGUCUUCGUGGUACACACUUCAUUUGCAAAAUGAAAAUAAACGCUAGUGUUUCAUUUUGGAGAAAGCACUCCUUAGAGCUAGGGCUUUAUGCGAGAGAAUGCGAGAUGAAGAGAGGACCUGACCGGAGCUGAACUGGCAGAGAUGAAUGUUGAUCCAAGGGCUCAAAUAGAAGGAUGCACAGUGGUCGUCCGAUGAUCAAAGCUUCUCGAGCAAGUUAUUUUUUUCCUUUUCCCUCUUUCAAUUUUUUUUCUUUUGUUUUCUGACCCUAUAAAGGGUGCUUCUACCAUGUAAAUAGAAUUUUUUUUUUAGACACACACAGACGCACUUUCAUUUGUUUUCUACAGUUCUCUAUUCUCUAGAUUAGGGUUUUAUCGCUUCCGGUAGAGUCCAGUUCUCGUGUUCUUGCUUGUUCCUCUUCGGUAAAUUCUUGUAUUCUCUGUUCAUUCAAUAAAAAUUUCUGUGAUGUUUCUGUUCGAUUUA